rnacentral:misc_RNA from 1 species
AACGCAUAUUGCACUCUAUCUCGGUAGAGUAUGCCUGUUUGAAAAUCUAAAGUAUUCUUUCAACACUGUUUCUUGCGCAAGCGAGACUCGGUCGCGAGAUAUGAGCCUUCCAGUCAUGAACUUGACUGGUGGUUUGAAUUAUAUUGCUGGUUACACUUUGACUUUAUGCUUGAGCUAUUGCAAAGUCGACUGAAAGGUAUUCGAAUAAGAGCCUAGCUUUUUAUCUUACGCCAAUUAAGCGACAGCAGUGGUUAGUAUCGUCUAGGAAGCUAGUCCAUAACCAUUAAAACAUCCACAAGAUGUUUGAACCAUGGUCUCAAAUCAGGUAGGAUUACCCGCUGAACUUAA